GUUAUUUUUUGUUAUAGAUUUAUCUGCUCUUUUUGUGCAUCUCCUCUCGAGUAUUAAAGAGAUGGAGGUGCUCAUUAUCUUCACAAGAUAUAGGGAUGCACUGUACUAUUGCAGCUCUUCAUCUUUUCACGUGCAUACGAGAUGAGCAUUCUGUGCAGUGAACCCCACAGUCCUUUUUGUCUUCUAGCCUAGCCCCAUUACUGGGGUGUCUUCCUUGCUGAUACCCUUUAGUAUUCUGCCAAGGAAACUAGGUGUACUUGAAAUUCAUAUUUCAACAGGCUGUAAAGAUGCAACACGAACACCCGUGGAAUAGGGCUUGAGGGAUCAUUCCAUUGUGCAGCUGUUUUAACAGACAGUGUGAUGAUGAAUAACUGCAUUGUAGGCAUCUGUAAUGAUAUAUUGCAACUGGUUCCUGAAAGCCAUAUGCUGAAGAUGAGUAUCAAGUUUGUUGUAUGGACAAGAGAUUUUGUUAAUUUGGAAUAUGUGUUCAGACACAGAAUUUCUUGCAUAUGUCAGCACCAGUUAUGUGAGCAGCAGUUACAAUGAGCAGCAAAGAAAAGUGAAAAUUAAAUAAUGUAAAACUAUAAAAUGUGUAAAUCAGGGCGACCAACUUUGUUUAUCUGAAAUAUUUUUUAUUGUUUUAGGAAUGG
rnacentral:lncRNA from 1 species